CCAGCUCCAAUAGCGUAUACUAAAGUUGUUGCAGUUAAAAAGCUCGUAGUUGGAUUUCUGGUCGUGGGCCCCGGUCCGCCUCGCGAGAGGUGCGCACCAGGGGCUUGCAGCCUUUUUCGAGGAGAGCGCAUCUGGCAUUCGUUUGUCGGGUGCGGGAUCCUCGUCAUUUACUGUGAGCAAAAUAGAGUGUUCAAAGCAGGCUUACGCCGUUGAAUACAUUAGCAUGGAAUAAUAAGAUAAGACCUUGGUCUAUUUUGUUGGUUUGCACUCCAAGGUAAUGAUUAAUAGGGAUAGUUGGGGGUAUUCGUAUUCAAUUGUCAGAGGUGAAAUUCUUGGAUUUAUGGAAGACGAACUACUGCGAAAGCAUUUACCAAGGAUGUUUUCA
rnacentral:rRNA from 1 species